ACAAGUAGUCAGAGCCCGUUAAUGGGUGAUGGCGUGCCUUUUGUAGAAUGAACCGGCGAGUUACGAUUUGAUGCAAGGUUAAGCAGUAAAUGUGGAGCCGUAGCGAAAGCGAGUCUGAAUAGGGCGUUUAGUAUUUGGUCGUAGACCCGAAACCAGGUGAUCUACCCUUGGUCAGGUUGAAGUUCAGGUAACACUGAAUGGAGGACCGAACCGACUUACGUUGAAAAGUGAGCGGAUGAACUGAGGGUAGCGGAGAAAUUCCAAUCGAACCUGGAGAUAGCUGGUUCUCUCCGAAAUAGCUUUAGGGCUAGCCUCAAGUGAUGAUUAUUGGAGGUAGAGCACUGUUUGGACGAGGGGCCCCUCUCGGGUUACCGAAUUCAGACAAACUCCGAAUGCCAAUUAAUUUAACUUGGGAGUCAGAACAUGGGUGAUAAGGUCCGUGUUCGAAAGGGAAACAGCCCAGACCACCAGCUAAGGUCCCAAAAUAUAUGUUAAGUGGAAAAGGAUGUGGCGUUGCCCAGACAACUAGGAUGUUGGCUUAGAAGCAGCCAUCAUUUAAAGAGUGCGUAAUAGCUCACUAGUCGAGUGACACUGCGCCGAAAAUGUACCGGGGCUAAACAUAUUACCGAAGCUGUGGAUUGUCCUUUGGACAAUGGUAGGAGAGCGUUCUAAGGGCGUUGAAGCAUGAUCGUAAGGACAUGUGGAGCGCUUAGAAGUGAGAAUGCCGGUGUGAGUAGCGAAAGACGGGUGAGAAUCCCGUCCACCGAUUGACUAAGGUUUCCAGAGGAAGGCUCGUCCGCUCUGGGUUAGUCGGGUCCUAAGCUGAGGCCGACAGGCGUAGGCGAUGGAUAACAGGUUGAUAUUCCUGUACCACCUAU
rnacentral:rRNA from 1 species